rnacentral:rRNA from 1 species
GAAAGCAGGGGAUCGUAAGACCUCGCGCUAUUGGAGCGGCCGAUGUCCGAUUAGCUAGUUGGUGGGGUAAUGGCCUACCAAGGCGACGAUCGGUAGCUGGUUUGAGAGGAUGAUCAGCCACACUGGGACUGAGACACGGCCCAGACUCCUACGGGAGGCAGCAGUGGGGAAUUUUGGACAAUGGGCGAAAGCCUGAUCCAGCCAUGCCGCGUGAGUGAAGAAGGCCUUCGGGUUGUAAAGCUCCUUCGGCCGGAACGAAAUCGUCCGGGCUAAUACCCCGGAUGGAUGACGGUACCGGAAGAAGAAGCACCGGCUAACUACGUGCCAGCAGCCGCGGUAAUACGUAGGGUGCAGGCGUUAAUCGGAAUUACUGGGCGUAAAGCGUGCGCAGGCGGCUUCCUAAGUCAGAUGUGAAAUCCCCGGGCUUAACCUGGGAACUGCGUUUGAAACUACAAAGC